rnacentral:rRNA from 1 species
CGUUACGAACGUGACUCAAUACAUUAAAUAGAUUCCUAUCAGAUAAGUAAACUGUUGAUGCUUGCCUAUGGCUUGCUUUCGGGUAGGUCAUUGGGUAAGUGGAAGUUUACCUGAUAGUUUGUCAACUGUCAAAGGUUGGCUUUGAUCUGCUUAAUGAGACAAAUUGUGUUUAGCAAAAUGAGAUUGAGCAAUAACAGGUCCGUGAUGCCCUUAGAUGUCCUGGGUUGCACGCGCGCUACAAUGAGACCAUCAACGUGAUACCUGAUCUGAAAGGAUUGGGAAAUCACUUAAAUGUGCUCUUAGUUGGGAUUGUGGAUUGUAAUUAUUCACAUGAACCUGGAAUUCCCAGUAAAUGCUAGUCAUCAGCUAGCGUUGACUAAGUCCCUGCCCUUUGUACACACCGCCCGUCGCUAUUACCGAUUGGUUAUUUAGUGAGGUCUCCGGAGGUAAUCGCCGAAGAUGCUUAGGUAUCAUUAGGUUGUUUUGCCAAAGUUGACCGAACUUGAUGAUUGAGAGGAAAUAAAAGUCGUAACAAGGUUUCCGUAGGUGAACCUGCGGAAGGAUCAUUA